AUGCAGAGGGUGCGAGCGUUAAUCGGAAUUACUGGGCGUAAAGCGCGCGUAGGCGGCUACUUAAGUCAGAUGUGAAAUCCCCGGGCUCAACCUGGGAACUGCAUCUGAUACUGGGUAGCUAGAGUUUAGGAGAGGGAAGUAGAAUUUCAGGUGUAGCGGUGAAAUGCAUAGAGAUCUGAAGGAAUACCAGUGGCGAAGGCGGUUUCCUGGCCUAAAACUGACGCUGAGGUGCGAAAGCGUGGGUAGCAAACGGGAUUAGAAACCCCGGUAGUCC
rnacentral:rRNA from 1 species